CCAUCAAAAUUCACCCUAAAGAGACUGAUGAAGGACCUGGGGAUCAGCGGACAAGCCCUACGCCAGGCCACCAAAGAAACAUCACGGGUGGCAGAGCGGAGUAGCCAAUGGUUCUGGCUGAAGAGGAAAGACCCCAUUUGGUCUCCUAAAUAACCGACUAGACAGAUACAGAGAGGGGUGGUUC